rnacentral:pre_miRNA from 1 species
CUAAUACUCCCUCCGUCCGAAAAUACUUGUCAUCAAAAUAGAUAAAAAGAGAUGUAUCUAGAAUUAAAAUACAUCUAGAUACAUCCCCUUUUAUCCAUUUUGAUGACGAGUAUUUCUGGACGGAGGGAGUAGGUU